rnacentral:rRNA from 1 species
GACGAACGCUGGCGGCGUGCUUAACACAUGCAAGUCGAACGAUGAAGCCGGAGCUUGCUCUGGUGAAUUAGUGGCGAACGGGUGAGUAACACGUGAGUAACCUGCCCUUGACUCUGGGAUAACUGCUAGAAAUGGUAGCUAAUACCGGAUAUGACCCUCGGAGGCAUCUCCAGGGGGUGGAAAGAAUUUCGGUCAAGGAUGGACUCGCGGCCUAUCAGCUAGUUGGUGAGGUAAUGGCUCACCAAGGCGACGACGGGUAGCCGGCCUGAGAGGGUGACCGGCCACACUGGGACUGCGACACGGCCCAGACUCCUACGGGAGGCAGCAGUGGGGAAUAUUGCACAAUGGGCGCAAGCCUGAUGCAGCAACGCCGCGUGAGGGAUGACGGCCUUCGGGUUGUAAACCUCUUUUAGUAGGGAAGAAGCGAAAGUGACGGUACCUGCAGAAAAAGCACCGGCUAACUACGUGCCAGCAGCCGCCGCAG